AAUGAACGUUGGCGGCGUGGAUUAGGCAUGCAAGUCGUGCGAGAACCGUAGCAAUACGGGGACAGCGGCGAAAGGGAGAGGAAUACGUGGAUACCUACCCUCAGGUUCAGGAUAGCCAUGGGAAACUAUGGGUAAUACUGAAUAAUAUCUCCGGAUCAAAGGUGUGAUUCCACCUGAGGAGGGGUCCGCGUCAUAUUAGCUAGUUGGUGAGGUAACGGAUCAGCAAGGCGAAGAUGGGUAUGGGAUGUGAGAGCAUGAUCCCACUCACUGGGACUGAGACACUGCGCAGACACCUACGGGUGGCUGCAGUCGAGAAUCUUCGGCAAAGGGGGCAACCCUGACCGAGCGACGCCGCGUGCGAGAUGAAGGCCUUCGGGUUGUAAAUCGCUGUCAGAGGGGAGGAAAUGCUAGUGGGUUCUCCCACUAGUUUGACCUAGCCUCAGAGGAAGGACGGGCUAAGUUCGUGCCAGCCGCCGCGGUAAAAC
rnacentral:rRNA from 1 species